rnacentral:lncRNA from 1 species
GGGAGGGGAGAGAGGGAAAGCUUGAAAGGGAGAGCUGUAAAAGGUAUGGGAUUUGCUCUAGUUGUAUUGGCUGGUCAUGACUCAUGAGUUCGUGCGGGUGUUUAUAUAGACCUGAUGAAAUCAAUAUGAGAGAGAGAGAGGGUUGGGGGUAGAGUGGGGAGGCCUAAUACGCCAAAAUCAUGCACGCUAGAAAGGUAGGACCUAGUAUUAAAACCUGACGGAAAACUCAAGGCACAGUAAAGAACUCAAAUAAAUAAAUUUUGGUUGAAGUAAAUUUUUUUGUACAAACAGAAACCUGUUUUACAUUUUCUUGAUACCUCAAGAGCUUCCAUUUCACUGGCCUGUCAAAACUGUAUGUGCUGCUGCUCUGUUCAACUGGAAAUAAAAUUACUUUACGCAAUUUUUUAAUACCUGUUUUUAGUUGUCAUUCUUAAUCAUUUGGUUAUCUAUUUUAAUCUUUUGUUAAAAUGUGUCGCAUAAAGGAACUCCCUUGGGUUGAUGUUAGAAUUAUAGGCAAUUGAUGAGAGCACAUGGACGCCACCCCAUUAGAAGGAAAGCCAUGGGAUUAAGUGGUUCACAUGUCUGUCAAAUAGAUCUGCGCACCAAAUUACAAAAGUCACUUGAGGACAUGUUCUUGGUUAGAGAGAGAAAGGAAGACCCAUGAAAUAACAAAAACCAUCUAGGCAUGUUCUUUUCUCUCGCCACCCUAACUCUUGAGGUUGGAACAUAGAAAUCCUAGCCUGUUUCCUUUUAAUUAGAUUGAAACUUGGAUCUGUAGGUUAUAGUUCCUAGUAACUCCACACGUGAAGUUUGACUUUUUGGACUGUUUUCCACUUUAAACUUUUCCUAUCUUGUUAUCCAAUAAUUCCCCAUGUUCUAACCUUUCAUCACAUCUCAAAUUUCAGUAACUUUUUGGAGCCUUGUGCAAGGGAAGAAGACUAUAAAAAAUUGCAGAACAGAGACCCCCUAUGCCUGCCUAGCUAAUGGCCAUCCACUAAGCAUGAUUAAGUAAGGAUUCUUGUGUCAUAAUACGAUAAAAAAGAAAAAAGCUUAAUUUUUUUUGCUAAUCACAUCAAACCCAAUUUGAAAUGAGUCUAGAUUUGCUUUCUGUAUUCACACAUGUAUGCUAAAGGGCAUUCUAAUUCCACUUCUACCCCAUGUGAGGAAACCGACUGCUACCCUCCUGAAAAUUCCUUGAUAAUUGGUAUAAAUGUCAGAUUUUAUUAUGCUUAAUAAUAAUGGUUAUGUUGACUGUUUUGACCAAGUGAAGCCCAACGUAUCAUGUAAACAUGCUUUAUUAUUAAUUUAUUAUAUACUAAUAUGAAUAGCAGAAUAGGUCGGCAUCGAGGUAGGUGUAUACAUUUAAUUCGAAAGCCAUUGUUAAGUUCCCGAGCUACUAAUUUUUGCUGUACAGAGCUCUUACUCACUCAUUUAUAAAUGAUAAUUUAAUACGAAGGCUUUCACAUUGACACGCAAUGGCUGGUGUCGGACAUAUAUAUGGAAAUUUGAUGGUUGCUAAAACUCAAUACAUUUAAUUGGAACUAGAUACAAAAUGGUGCCGUACAGGAAGGCGUACAAGGUCGACUAGUCUCAUCAUCAGUAGGUGGGAGAUUAUUUGAGAGAGGGGUAUUUGUAAUAUAUGCUCCUAAAAACAGGGUUUGUCUUGUAAUUUUCACUUAUAUAUCAUCAUCUCUCGUUUUGUUUAUUGACUUUGGGUAUGAUGCUGAUGCCUUGUCAUAAUGUGGCACAAAAGGUAGGUUGGAAAAUGACUUGAAGAGAAGUGUGGAUCCUUGGGGAGAUCCUUGGAAAGGGAUUUGACACGACUGACACAGUGCCCCCUUUUACAUUUCUAAGCAAUUGCUAAUCAUCGCCCACUUUU